rnacentral:rRNA from 1 species
GAUGAACGCUGGCGGCGUGCCUAAUACAUGCAAGUCGAGCGAACAGACGAGGAGCUUGCUCCUCUGACGUUAGCGGCGGACGGGUGAGUAACACGUGGAUAACCUACCUAUAAGACUGGGAUAACUUCGGGAAACCGGAGCUAAUACCGGAUAAUAUAUUGAACCGCAUGGUUCAAUAGUGAAAGACGGUUUUGCUGUCACUUAUAGAUGGAUCCGCGCCGCAUUAGCUAUUUGGUAAGGUAACGGCUUACCAAGGCAACGAUGCGUAGCCGACCUGAGAGGGGGAUCGGCAACACUGGAACUGAGACACGGUCCAGACUCCUACGGGAGGCAGCAGUAGGGAAUCUUCCGCAAUGGGCGAAAGCUUGACGGAGCAACGCCGCGUGAGGGAUGAAGGUCUUCGGAUCGUAAAACUCUGUUAUUAGGGAAGAACAAAUGUGUAAGUAACUAUGCACGUCUUGACGGUACCUAAUCAGAAAGCCACGGCUAACUACGUG